CUACGGGAUGCUCCAGUGAGGGAUUUUGUGCAAUGGGGGGAACCCUGACGCAGCAAUGCCGCGUGAGUGAAGAAGGCUUUUGGGUCGUAAAGCUCUGUCGACAGGGAAGAAGUUAUUUUGUAUUAAUAGUAUGAGAUAUUGACGGUACCUGUAGAGGAAGCACCGGCUAACUCCGUGCCAGCAGCCGCGGUAAUACGGGGGGUGCAAGCGUUAUUCGGAACUAUUGGGCGUAAAGAGCGCGUAGGCGGAUUUGUCAGUCAGAUGUGAAAUUCCAGGGCUUAACCUUGGGCGUGCAUUUGAGACAGCAAGUCUUGAGUACGGUAGAGGGAAGUGGAAUUCCUGGUGUAGAGGUGAAAUUCGUAGAUAUCAGGAGGAACACCGAAGGCGAAGGCAGCUUCCUGGUCCGAUACUGACGCUGAAGUGCGAAGGCGUGGGUAGCAAACAGGAUUAGAUACCCGAGUAGUC
rnacentral:rRNA from 1 species